rnacentral:misc_RNA from 1 species
CCUGUCAACAAGCGACUGCAGCGCCACCUGAAAACAGGAAGUGCUAGUGAGGUGAAUCAGUGAUACCUGAGAUAGGUAAAAUUCCUAAUUAGUUACCUGUCUGUGCAAGCCACACCUGAACAAAAUGGGGUGCGAAAGAAUAGGGAAUGUGCCGUUUGCCUCGCUGAUUGCGACAAUGAUAACAUUUACUGGCGUGGGAGUGUUCUGUGGGGCGUUGUACCGGGCCUUGACAUUGGUCAUCACUAACAUUCUGGACGAACUAUUUCAGUUCAACGUUCCUUGGUUGGAGGUGAUAAAGAUAGUAUUCGUGAUCGUGGCUGUGAUUAUGGGAUUGUUUGCUAUUAUCCUACUGGUGUUUGGUUACCUGUCGACUGGAGCAACGAGGAAGAACGUGUACUCUGGGGCCAGAUGUAUUAUGGGAGGCAGAGUGUCUGCUGCCUUUUUCCUGAUCAUGACUUACCUGAUGAACCUGGCCUGGUUAGGUAUUGUGGGCGCAUGUGUGAUUCCUAUUCUCGGCUACAUCAUGAUCAACUCCUACUGCUAUGAGAAAGUCUACAAUAGAGUUGUGGGUACCACCACUGUGGAAUGCUUCAGCCUCACACGAUUUGGUAUCUAUAGGAACUCCACAACGGCAAUAGGAAUAGGAGUACCUGGCCGGGAACAGCUGUGUGCUCACACCGACCUCAGACUCAUGUGUGACAAGGUAGCCGAGGCGGGACCCUUGUUCUGUGUGGCCUGUGCUGGAGCCGCCCUUAUUGUCCUGGGAUUGAUACAUUUCAUGAUAGCCAUAGGGGCCAACUACACACGGAUCAAGAUCUCCAAAGAGUUGACGGAGUACCGCGACGCUGUAGAUAUGGAAGAGCUCGACCUUCACAACAGCCGUGGCUACCUGGACAAGGACAGUAGCUCACGGUGACAACUCACCCCCGGUCCCAGCCGUUACUGAUGCAUGUAUAUAUAUCCUCAUUAGACAUCUUCAUUUUGAAUAAACAUAUUUAUUUUCAUAAAGCAAAUAAAUAAAAGGUCAUUUAACACAUCUACAGAUAUUUAAAAGUCAUUUUAUAGUUGUCUAUAUAAUGUAGAAUUGAAAUCAACAUUGCAUAUAUAUUGCAUGCUUUUCCAGAAACAAAAAUUUGAAAAGGUUUUGGUUUGAGUUACCUCCCUUUGAUAGUGUGUAAUUUUCAUGAAGAUUUUGAAAAUUCUUAUAAGUGAUUACAAAUCAUAUGAAUAAUUAAUAUGAAAUAACACUCAAUCUGGUUUCCAAUCAACAAUUCAGAACAAAAAAUAAUCAAGUGCUUACUUUAAAAUGCAUUGCUUUAAAUAAUGGCUAGUAGUAGUUUAAAAAAGAGGUAUAGUAUAAUUCAGUGUGCAGGUUGGACUGGGGGAGCAGUGGACUAGCUUCUUGUUAUUGUAGUAACCCUGUUACAAAUAGUCCAAGAGAAAUACAGCUGAGCUGGUAAUUACAUGACUUUACGUCCUGUAUCGAACUGCCCUUGUGUCAUUUAGUUAGUUACAUAUUAAAUACACCAGUAAUAUCUGGUUGAUAUGGCCAGACAUUUAGCAUACAGUGGGUGGUGCAGGGAAUAAUGUAAUUGCCUUUACCGAGGCAUCUGGGUUUUUAUUCCCUGAUCAGGCGUAAAAAGGUAUGGCGUGAACUGCCCGACCACAUGGGUUUUUCACAUUUUGUAUAAACUAGAUAUGUUUAAUUACAUAUACAUAUCUACAGUGAUAUUUUGAUUUAUAGAAUUGAGUCUGACAAAAAAUAACACAUUUUAACCUAUAUUAUUUCAGACACACCAAAACCCCACAUAAUAUAUGUUAAAAGUCAAAAAGCCUUAAAGUUUUAUUAAUUAGUAUGUUUCUACCUUAAAAUUUGCUGAUGAAAGACGAUGAUUGCAAUAACAUGUAGUUUUAAUUUGGAAAAAAAUAAAUAUGAAUCUCAGGAAUUUUGAUAUAUAAAUCAAAAGAAACCAUUCUUACUCAUUUGCGUUACAUACCUGGCAUUUGAAUAUAAUACAACAAACUGUUUCGAAACUCUACGCAAGAAAAUAAUCUUCCUCACAGUAUGGAUAUGGUGCAGAAAGACUAUAGUGACAUAUUUACAGACAGUAUAGAAAUGUAUUAACAAUACUGUUUUGUCCUCAAACUGUAUGAAUGCCAGCUCCCUAUUCUAAUGUCUUAGAAAAUAGUAACCAAUGUUGAUGUUAAAUCAAGGAUGGCUUUUAUUUCAUUCGGUUGUGCUUUUCAAGAUUUUGAAUCGUUAGUAAAUUUUUCAGGAUAUCUAUUUUGCUGCCUUUCAUCUACAGUGCAAUUGAGUGUAUGUUUUAUGUGAAAUACAUCUUCAAAGAAUAGAACAGCUUUUUGAAAUAGGUUUUUAUUCAGGGCUAUAUAUUUUAGAAAUAGAUAUGAGGGAAGAGGUAGGAGGUGGCGGCAGUAAAUUUGUGUAACCCCAUCACUCAAAAUUAUUUUUCUGUGAAUUGCGACACAAAUGUUAACCCCCCUUCCCCGACCCUCUCCCUUCACUCAUCAUCACCACAUAUAUCCCUGGUAUGUUCCUAUGAGAAAUAUCCCUAAACAUCAGGUUGGAGUUGUCCCUUGGAUUGCUCUUGGAACGAAAAAAUAUAAACAUACAAAUUAAAAAUGUUAAAAGCUUAAGAUGUAGACAGUAUUGUAAAGAAUCAUAGCAAAAAGUAAAACAAAAAUAUAGAACUCCUGAUUACACCAAAAUAAAAAGAUUGUGACAUUAUUGGAAAUUACUCAUUUCAGGUAAAACAAUUUGAUGUGUCUGUGUUAUAUCUAAAUAUUGACAUAACUGAUACAAACUGGCUAAAUCUAGACGCUAUAGAAAAGGACUUGGAAACAUGCACCUACUCAUAUUUUCAUUAUUGAUGGAAGAUAUAUUUUUUGGCGUAAUUUGUGAGUUAUCUCCCUUCAUCUGUUUCCACCUCCAAGUGUCUCAAUUUUGUUGCCAUUUUCAUAUAUCAAUAUCAAAUAAAGAUGUGCCCUCUAUUGUUAAAUUAAAUAAGUAAUAAAUGUUUUCCUUUCCUUUAAACACACAAAACAUUUUUGAAAUAAACAGAAAUAUGUUGACCACCUUAAUUACCAAAUAUAUUUGCGGUAACACUGCACACAUGCACGGCCAGCAAUCAAAACAAUUGACUUCUGAAAGGAUGUCGCUAAGUCUAUCUAGGGAUGUGUACAUGUAUUUUUAAUUAAAUUAAAAGAAAAACAAUGUGAUAAUCAAUGUACACUGUGUAUUAUAAUUGUUGUUGGCUCAUUAAGGUAUCCUGUUCCACUGCUGACAAAACACUAAUUCCACCAUAGGUUUUUGUAUGCACAGUUACCUCCCCUUAAUUUUGUUUUUGAGUUUUAACUGUAGUGCAACUAGGAUAGGAUACUUCCAUUUACCAUGUAACUCAAUUGGUUAGAGUAUCAGUAUAAUGAUCAGAAGUCCAGGGUUCGAAUCCUGGUCUAGUCCCUUUGUAUUUUGAUAUUCAGAACACUUAUCAAUUUAUUUUUUUGUAAAUACUGUAAGGUUCGUUUCUUUUCAGAAAUGUUUUGUAAAACCUGUUGCCAUGAUGUCCGGAAAAAAAUUCCAAUGCAAAGUUAUUUCCAAACAUUGAUUUUGUCAGUGGUAUAGGAGUUCGUUUAGGGGCUUGUUUUUGCGAGAACCUACAAAAACAUGGAUCUUCACUCAGAUGUAGCCAUAUCAUUGGUGAAAAGGGCUCUAAAUUUGUGCUAAAAACUCUAUGUUGAUGUUAGCUCAGAUAGGUUCUUAUUCGGAUUGAAACAUGUCGCCUGGUAAGAUAAGUCUCUACUUUCUGAAUUAUCAGAAAGAGCCCAUGUAGGUCAAAGUGCGGGAAGGUCUUGUAUUUGUGUGUGAUUGGUUUGCAUUGCUGUUUGAUCAGAAAGGCCAAUAUGAUGUGCUCAUUAAGAACUCAUGUCUGUGUGUUUAGAAAGGGCUCAUAUUUCUUUCUUUUUUUAAAGAGCUCUAUCUGAUGUAUGCUCAGAAAGCGCCCAUGUUAGUGUAUGCUGACAAAACAUAUAUUGACAUUAAAAAUAUUCUUAGUUUGUUUUGUGAUUAUAAUGUUCUGGUAUUGAUGUGUGCUACAAAGAGCUCUUGUAGUUCUGAUUAAAAUUGUUUGCCUUUAUAUUGCCAUAUUGUGUGUUGUGAAAGAUGUAUGAAGGUGUUUAUUUGGUCAACCAGGCAUUGUAGUUUGUUUUAAUUACGCUAUCUGUAAAUACGUGUACGUUCCUUAUUCUAUUAACUGGAUGUAUACCUGUGAAAGUCAAGAAUGAAUAACCAAACUAUGAAUGGUUGGUCUCUCAUGACAGGUUCUACUUUGGUGACAGAAGCUGAGGUCUCUUCAGACAGGUUUUUCUGUAGUGACAGAAGCUGAGGUCUCUUCAGACAGGUUCUUCUGUAGUGACAGAGAGGUUGGUCUCUUCAGACAGGUUCUUAUGUAGUGACAGAGAGGUUGGUCUCCUCAGACAGGUUCUUCUGUAGUGACAGAGAGGUUGGUCUCCUCAGACAGGUUCUUCUGUAGUGACAGAGAGGUUGGUCUCUUCAGACAGGUUCUUCUGUAGUGACAGAGAGGUUGGUCUCCUCAGACAGGUUCUUCUGUAGUGACAGAGAGGUUGGUCUCCUCAGACAGGUUCUUCUGUAGUGACAGAGAGGUUGGUCUCCUCAGACAGGUUCUUCUGUAGUGACAGAGAGGUUGGUCUCCUCAGACAGGUUCUUCUGUAGUGACAGAGAGGUUGGUCUCCUCAGACAGGUUCUUCUGUAGUGACAGAGAGGUUGGUCUCCUCAGACAGGUUCUUCUGUAGUGACAGAGAGGUUGGUCUCCUCAGACAGGUUCUUCUGUAGUGACAGAGAGGUUGGUCUCCUCAGACAGGUUCUUCUGUAGUGACAGAGAGGUUGGUCUCCUCAGACAGGUUCUUCUGUAGUGACAGAGAGGUUGGUCUCCUCAGACAGGUUCUUCUGUAGUGACAGAGAGGUUGGUCUCCUCAGACAGGUUCUUCUGUAGUGACAGAGAGGUUGGUCUCCUCAGACAGGUUCUUCUGUAGUGACAGAGAGGUUGGUCUCCUCAGACAGGUUCUUCUGUAGUGACAGAGAGGUUGGUCUCCUCAGACAGGUUCUUCUGUAGUGACAGAGAGGUUGGUCUCCUCAGACAGGUUCUUCUGUAGUGACAGAGAGGUUGGUCUCCUCAGACAGGUUCUUCUGUAGUGACAGAGAGGUUGGUCUCCUCAGACAGGUUCUUCUGUAGUGACAGAGAGGUUGGUCUCCUCAGACAGGUUCUUCUGUAGUGACAGAGAGGUUGGUCUCUUCAGACAGGUUCUUCUGUAGUGACAGAGAGGUUGGUCUCCUCAGACAGGUUCUUCUGUAGUGACAGAGAGGUUGGUCUCCUCAGACAGGUUCUUCUGUAGUGACAGAGAGGUUGGUCUCCUCAGACAGGUUCUUCUGUAGUGACAGAGAGGUUGGUCUCUUCAGACAGGUUCUUCUGUAGUGACAGAGAGGUUGGUCUCCUCAGACAGGUUCUUCUGUAGUGACAGAGAGGUUGGUCUCUUCAGACAGGUUCUUCUGUAGUGACAGAGAGGUUGGUCUCCUCAGACAGGUUCUUCUGUAGUGACAGAGAGGUUGGUCUCUUCAGACAGGUUCUUCUGUAGUGACAGAGAGGUUGGUCUCCUCAGACAGGUUCUUCUGUAGUGACAGAGAGGUUGGUCUCUUCAGACAGGUUCUUCUGUAGUGACAGAGAGGUUGGUCUCCUCAGACAGGUUCUUCUGUAGUGACAGAGAGGUUGGUCUCUUCAGACAGGUUCUUCUGUAGUGACAGAGAGGUUGGUCUCCUCAGACAGGUUCUUCUGUAGUGACAGAGAGGUUGGUCUCUUCAGACAGGUUCUUCUGUAGUGACAGAGAGGUUGGUCUCCUCAGACAGGUUCUUCUGUAGUGACAGAGAGGUUGGUCUCUUCAGACAGGUUCUUCUGUAGUGACAGAGAGGUUGGUCUCCUCAGACAGGUUCUUCUGUAGUGACAGAGAGGUUGGUCUCUUCAGACAGGUUCUUCUGUAGUGACAGAGAGGUUGGUCUCCUCAGACAGGUUCUUCUGUAGUGACAGAGAGGUUGGUCUCUUCAGACAGGUUUUCCUGUAGUGACAGAGAGGUUGGUCUCCUCAGACAGGUUCUUCUGUAGUGACAGAGAGGUUGGUCUCUUCAGACAGGUUCUAUUGAGUAUUGUUUAAGCAAAACUGAAUUGAAAAUUAAUGGAAAGUUAACAUUAACCAUACUUAAUUUUAUUAUCAAUGGUUUUCAUAUAGAUUAUGACUUUGUAUUUUGUCAUGGCCGUUUUCUUCUUUUACUAAUCUUUUUUCAUUUUAUUUUAUUUUAAAAGAUAUAUAGCUACUGUACAUUACUUAUUAUACAAAAGUGUUUAAAAAAUUAUGUUUAGACAUUAGGUCUGUUAAUAUUUGAAAAAUCUGCAAAUGUGUAAAAGAUAUAUAAUAAAGAAGCUGUUUGUUCCAGAUAUUUUCUGUUGUGAGGAGGGCAAAUAUUCUUUGGAUAUCAUAAGCUACAUCAUAUAAUGUAGCUCUAUAUACAAUGACCAAUACUUAUAGUUCUAUAGCAUGCCACUGUCUGUUGGUAGCAAGUUGUAUAUCAAAAUAAGUUAUAGAAUAUGUGAAAGUAAUUGUGUACAUGUUUUUGAAAACUCCCACCCGACAAAUUCUGCUUAUGUUAAUUUCCCUGUAAGAAAAAUGUUUUCGGUGAUUGACAUGCUCACUGUGCCUAAGUAUACUGUACAUGUUACUUGUACAUGUACCUGUAAUCAUAAGGUGUUAAUUCACUGGACUUCACCUGCUUAAUUAUGUGGCUCAAAUAAAACUGUGGUAACUUAUAGUAUGUUUUAGCUGUAUAGCACCUACAUUUUAGCAUUGUUAUCGUUUUAAGGUUUAUCUUGUAAAGUCAUAAAUGUGACUUUGAUUGUUAGAUCAAUUAACCACUUGCAUUUCAAAGUGAAGGAUAUUACUUGUUUUCCUGUGCGUUCUUUAAGUUCUUUCUGAAUUCUUGCUUCAUAAUUACACAUUAGCGUUAUUAAAAUCCAUUCCCUUUAAACGGCAGCAAAUAUUUUACCUCCAGUUAUAGAGGAGGUCUGAAUUGUGUCUUCAAAGGUAUAUUGUGGUUAGGAUUAUCUUUUUUAUCUGUGAAUGAAUAUAUUUUAUACCUAUGUUAAUAUGAUGCAAAAAUGUAAAAAAAAAAAA